rnacentral:rRNA from 1 species
GGUAGCCGGACUGAGAGGUUGAACGGCCACAUUGGGACUGAGACACGGCCCAGACUCCUACGGGAGGCAGCAGUGGGGGAUAUUGCACAAUGGGGGAAACCCUGAUGCAGCGACGCCGCGUGGAGGAAGAAGGUUUUCGGAUUGUAAACUCCUGUCGUUAGGGACGAUAAUGACGGUACCUAACAAGAAAGCACCGGCUAACUACGUGCCAGCAGCCGCGGUAAAACGUAGGGUGCAAGCGUUGUCCGGAAUUACUGGGUGUAAAGGGAGCGCAGGCGGGAAGACAAGUUGGAAGUGAAAUCCAUGGGCUCAACCCAUGAACUGCUUUCAAAACUGUUUUUCUUGAGUAGUGCAGAGGUAGGCGGAAUUCCCGGUGUAGCGGUGGAAUGCGUAGAUAUCGGGAGGAACACCAGUGGCGAAGGCGGUCUACUGGGCACCAACUGACGCUGAGGCUCGAAAGCAUGGGUAGCAAACAGGAUUAGAUACCCUGGUAGUCCAUGCCGUAAACGAUGAUUACUAGGUGUUGGAGGAUUGACCCCUUCAGUGCCGCAGUUAACACAAUAAGUAAUCCACCUGGGGAGUACGACCGCAAGGUUGAAACUCAAAGGAAUUGACGGGGGCCCGCACAAGCAGUGGAGUAUGUGGUUUAAUUCGACGCAACGCGAAGAACCUUACCAAGUCUUGACAUCCUGCGACGGACAUAGAAAUAUGUCUUUCCUUCGGGACGCAGAGACAGGUGGUGCAUGGUUGUCGUCAGCUCGUGUCGUGAGAUGUUGGGUUAAGU